CUAUAACGGUCCUAAGGUAGCGAAAUUCCUUGUCGGGUAAGUUCCGACCCGCACGAAAGGCGUAAUGAUUUGAGCGCUGUCUCGACAAUGCACCCGGUGAAAUUGAAAUACCAGUGAAGAUGCUGGUUACCUGCGCCAGGACGGAAAGACCCCAUGGAGCUUUACUCCAGUUUGAUACUGGGAUUCGGUACUGCAUGUACAGGAUAGGUGGGAGACUGAGAAAUACAGGCGUCAGCUUGUGUGGAGUCGCUGUUGGGAUACCACUCUUGUACUGCUGGGUUUCUAACCUGCGGCCGUGAAUCCGGUCGGGGGACACUGUUAGGCGGGCAGUUUGACUGGGGCGGUCGCCUCCGAAAGGGUAUCGGAGGCGCUCAAAGGUUCCCUCAGAAUGGUCGGAAACCAUUCGAAGAGUGCAAAGGCAGAAGGGAGCUUGACUGCGACACCGACGGGUGGAGCAGGUACGAAAGUAGGACUUAGUGAUCCGGUGGUAUAAAGUGGGAUUGCCAUCGCUCAACGGAUAAAAGCUACCCUGGGGAUAACAGGCUUAUCACUCCCAAGAGUUCACAUCGACGGAGUGGUUUGGCACCUCGAUGUCGGCUCAUCGCAUCCUGGGGCUGUAGUAGGUCCCAAGGGUUGGGCUGUUCGCCCAUUAAAGCGGUACGCGAGCUGGGUUCAGAACGUCGUGAGACAGUUCGGUCCCUAUCCGGCGUGGGCGUAGGAUAUUUGAGAGGAGCUGUCCUUAGUACGAGAGGACCGGGAUGGACGGACCACUGGUGUAUCUGUUGGCUAUCAGAGCCAUGGCAGAGUAGCCAAGUCCGGCAGGGAUAAACGCUGAAGGCAUCUAAGCGUGAAGCCCCCCUCAAGAUGAGAUAUCUCAUACGCAAGUAGUAAGACCCCUUGAAGACGACAAGGUAGAUAGGUCAGAGGUGGAAGUGCGGUGACGCAUGAAGCUGACUGAUACUAAUCGGUCGAGGGCUUGACCAA
rnacentral:rRNA from 1 species